rnacentral:rRNA from 1 species
CCUACGGGAGGCAGCAGUGAGGAAUAUUGGUCAAUGGGCGCGAGCCUGAACCAGCCAAGUAGCGUGAAGGAUGACUGCCCUACGGGUUGUAAACUUCUUUUAUAAAGGAAUAAAGUGAGGCACGUGUGCCUUUUUGUAUGUACUUUAUGAAUAAGGAUCGGCUAACUCCGUGCCAGCAGCCGCGGUAAUACGGAGGAUCCGAGCGUUAUCCGGAUUUAUUGGGUGUAAAGGGAGCGUAGAUGGGUUGUUAAGUCAGUUGUGAAAGUUUGCGGCGCAACCGUAAAAUUGCAAUUGAUACUGGCAGCCUUGAGUACAGUUGAGGUAGGCGGAAUUCGUGGUGUAGCGGUGAAAUGCUUAGAUAUCACGAAGAACCCCGAUUGCGAAGGCAGCUUACUAAACUGUGACAGACGUUGAUGCUCGAAAGUGUGGGUAUCAAACAGGAUUAGAUACCCUGGUAGUC